AUUGAACGCUGGCGGCGUGCCUAACACAUGCAAGUCGAGCGGUAACAGGUGUAGCAAUACAUGCUGACGAGCGGCGAACGGGUGAGCAAUGCUUCGGAAUCUGCCCAAUGGUGGGGAAUAACCAGUCGAAAGAUUGGCUAAUACCGCAUACGCCCUUCGGGGGAAAGCGGGGGUCGCAAGACCUCGCGCCGAUGGAUGAGCCGAAGUCGGAUUAGCUAGUUGGUAGGGUAACGGCCUACCAAGGCGACGAUCCGUAGCUGCUCUGAGAGGACGAACAGCCAACCUGGGACUGAGACACGGCCCAGACUCAUACGGGAGGCAGCAGUGGGGAAAAUUGGACAAUGGGGGCAACCCUGAUCCAGCGACGCCGCGUGUGUGAAGAAGGCCUGCGGGUUGUAAAGCACUUUUAGUGGGGAUGAAAAGCACAUUGCUAAUACCAGUGUGUCGUGACCUAACCCAAAGAAAAAGCACCGGCUAACUCUGUGCCAGCAGCCGCGGUAAGAC
rnacentral:rRNA from 1 species